GAGGUCGACCAGGGGAAGUUAGAGAAAGCAGAUUGGCUUAAUGGAAAGAACACACUUGCCUGCUGUGUGACCUAGGAAUGAGGGGCUACGUGAGCGUGCUUGAAAGUGCUGAGAAAGAAGCUUUUGUAAAGACACACUGCUUCCCUGCUUCCGAUUUGACACUGGGGCCGUGGUGAGGAGAUGGCUCUAGGAAGCGAUCGUCUCCUGGGUGUCGGAGGUUCUGCACCAGGCCGACUCCGAUUCCCAGCGAGGAUCUGACCCGUACCGAAGAGCCGGUCGUCCAACUAAUUCCAUCUAUCUGGAUGGAGAAUCUCUAGUCUCGAAGACACACUGAAAGCACUGAAAGCCGUGCCCGCGAAAAGCCAACGCCAUUUUAUUAUCCAAUCCGUACUCUUUUUUUACCCCUUUUAUUGAAGGGGUCACUCCGUGACGCUAAACAUGGAAGAAAAUAAAAUGAA